GAGGGUAUAGUUCAAGUGGUAGAGUGCAUGCUUAGCAUGCACAAGGUCCUGGGUUCAAUCCCCAGUACCUCCU
rnacentral:tRNA from 1 species